rnacentral:rRNA from 1 species
CAGUUUUGGCGGAGCCAUCCUUGGGAUACCACCCUUGUAGUACUGGGACUCUAACCAUAGGCCAUGAAUCUGGUCUUGGGACACUGUCAGGUGGGCAGUUUGACUGGGGCGGUCGCCUCCCAAAAGGUAACGGAGGCGCUCAAAGGUUCUCUCAGUACGGUCGGAAAUCGUACGUAGAGUGUAAAGGCAAAAGAGAGCUUGAUUGCAAGACAUACAGGUCGAGCAAGGAUGAAAAUCGGACUUAGUGAUCCGGUGGUUCUGCGUGGAAGGGCCAUCGCUCAACGGAUAAAAGCUACCCUGGGGAUAACAGGCUUAUCUCCCCCAAGAGUCCACAUCGACGGGGAGGUUUGGCACCUCGAUGUCGGCUCAUCACAUCCUGGGGCUGUAGUAGGUCCCAAGGGUUGGGCUGUUCGCCCAUUAAAGUGGUACGCGAGCUGGGUUCAGAACGUCGUGAGACAGUUCGGUCCCUAUCCGUCGCAGGCGUAGGACAUUUGAGAAGACCUGUCCUUAGUACGAGAGGACCGGGAUGGACGUACCUCUGGUGUACCAGUUGUCCUGCCAAGGGCAUGGCUGGGUAGCUAUGUACGGAAUGGAUAAGCGCUGAAAGCAUCUAAGCGCGAAGCCAACUUCAAGAUAAGAUUUCCCACCGCAAGGGUAAGACCCCAGAAAGACUAUCUGGUUGAUAGGUCGAAGGUGUAAGU